rnacentral:tRNA from 1 species
GAUAAAGUGCCUGACAAUAAAGGGCUAUUUUGAUAGAAUAGAUCAAGUAUAUAAAAUAUACCUUUAUCA